rnacentral:tRNA from 1 species
CGGGCUGUAGCUCAGUUGGUAGAGCGCACCGUUCGGGACGGUGAGGCCGAAGGUUCAAGUCCUUUCAGCCCGA